UACGUAGGGUGCGAGCGUUGUCCGGAAUUAUUGGGCGUAAAGGGCUCGUAGGCGGUUUGUCGCGUCGGAAGUGAAAACACGGGGCUUAACUCUGUGCUUGCUUUCGAUACGGGCAGACUAGAGGGAUGCAGGGGAGAACGGAAUUCCCGGUGUAGAGGUGAAAUUCGUAGAUAUCGGAAGGAACACCAGUGGCGAAGGCGGCCAUCUGGACGGUGACUGACGCUGAGACGCGAAAGCGUGGGGAGCAAACAGG
rnacentral:rRNA from 1 species